rnacentral:lncRNA from 1 species
CCAGCCAUAGGUGCAGAUUGGCACACCCCUGAAUAUUUGUUUGGUCAAACAAGUUAGAAGCAGACCGUUGAGGGUCAGACCUGAGUCUAAGUAGUAAUCAGAACACUAUUAGACCUAAGUCAAGGCUCAAACACAUAAUGGGGGACAAGGGACCUGGGAAUUGACUAAAUUAAGGAGUUCAAAAGAACCCAGUCCAUAGCCAUAGACAACAAUAG